CUCCGGGAGGCACCAGUGGGGAAUAUUGCACAAUGGGCGCAAGCCUGAUGCAGCCAUGCCGCGUGUAUGAAGAAGGCCUUCGGGUUGUAAAGUACUUUCAGCGGGGAGGAAGGGAGUAAAGUUAAUACCUUUGCUCAUUGACGUUACCCGCAGAAGAAGCACCGGCUAACUCCGUGCCAGCAGCCGCGGUAAUACGGAGGGUGCAAGCGUUAAUCGGAAUUACUGGGCGUAAAGCGCACGCAGGCGGUUUGUUAAGUCAGAUGUGAAAUCCCCGGGCUCAACCUGGGAACUGCAUCUGAUACUGGCAAGCUUGAGUCUCGUAGAGGGGGGUAGAAUUCCAGGUGUAGCGGUGACAUGCGUAGAGAUCUGGAGGAAUACCGGUGGCGAAGGCGGCCCCCUGGACGAAGACUGACGCUCAGGUGCGAAAGCGUGGGGAGCAAACAGGAUUAGAUACCCUAGUAGUC
rnacentral:rRNA from 1 species